UUUGUAUAAAAUGAUGUUUAAGAAAAAUAGAGUGUGGAGAUGAGAAAAGAAUUCGUUGAUUAUAUUUUUGUGUUUGACAAGACCUUCGGACUUGUGCCUACGUACCAAUAUAAAAAUGAGGGAUUAAAACCUUGUAGUUCGUGGUAAUAAUUUCAAAGUGAGUGAGUUGCUUUUAACAAAAAUCUAAUUGAGGAGGGCCCAAAGGGCCAAAGGUUUGAACAAAGUUG
rnacentral:lncRNA from 1 species